GUAGGUGGCAAGCGUUGUCCGGAAUUAUUGGGCGUAAAGCGCGCGCAGGCGGUUCUUUAAGUCUGAUGUGAACGCCCACAGCUCAACCGUGGAGGGUCAUUGGAAACUGGAGAACUUGAGUACAGAAGAGGAAAGCGGAAUUCCACGUGUAGCGGUGAAAUGCGUAGAGAUGUGGAGGAACACCAGUGGCGAAGGCGGCUUUCUGGUCUGUAACUGACGCUGAGGCGCGAAAGCGUGGGGGAGCAAACAGGAUUAGAUACCCUGGUAGUCCACGCCGUAAACGAUGAGUGCUAAGUGUUAGGGGGUUUCCGCCCCUUAGUGCUGCAGCUAACGCAUUAAGCACUCCGCCUGGGAGUACGGCCGCAAGGCUG
rnacentral:rRNA from 1 species